rnacentral:rRNA from 1 species
GGUUCUUUGAUAAAAUACAGUAAAGAAUCUUGCCUGCCCAGUGAUGAAAAUUUAACGGCCGCGGUAAUUUAACUGUGCGAAGGUAGCAUAAUCAAUUGUCUAUUAAUUGUAGACUGGAAUGAAUGGUAUGACUAGAGAUUAGUUGUCUUGGGAUUAAUUUAAAAUUUUCAUUUUCUUGAAGAGAAGAAAAUGCCUCAGAGGGACGAGAAGACCCUAUUGAGCUUUAUAUAAAGUGGUAUAUUUAUUUGUGGGGAAUUGAAUGGCUAUAAAAUAUUUUGCUGGGGCGGUGGAUUUUAAUAUUAAAACAAUUUUUAAAGGAAAUAUUAUUAAGUGAGAGUUUGAUCCAAUAUGAUUGAUUAUAAGACUAAGUUACUGUAGGGAUAACAGCGUAAUAUUAUUUAGAAGUACUAAUUUGUGAUAAAGAUUGCGACCUCGAUGUUGGUUUAGGAAACUUGUUUGGUGCAGAUGCUAAAUUAAGUAGUCUGUUCGACUAUUAAAUUCCUAUA